rnacentral:sRNA from 1 species
GCUGGGCAUGGUGGUUCACACCUGUAAUCCCAGUGCUUUGGAAGCUGAGGCAGGAGGAUCUCUUGAGGCCAGGAGUUUGAGACCAGCCUGGACAAUAUAGCAAGAUUCAAUCUCUACAAAAAAAUUUAAAAGUUAGCUGGGGAUGGUGGCACGUGCCUGUAGUCCCAGCUACUGGGGAGGCUGAGGCAGGAGGAUCGCUUGGGCCCAGGAAUUCUGAGGCUGCAGUGAGAUUGUGCCACUAUACUCUAGCCUGGGCAACACAGUGAGACCCUGUCUCU